rnacentral:rRNA from 1 species
GACGAACGCUGGCGGCGUGCUUAACACAUGCAAGUCGAACGAAGUGUCGAACGGGUUUGUAAUACGUGUGUACCCUUCCCUCCUUUUUGGGUUAAGCCUUUGAAACGUGGUCUAAUACCCGAUUAUGGUGGAUGGGCUAGGGGCCUAGCCGCUUGUUGGUGGGGUGAUGGCCUACCAAGGCGGGGACGGGUAGCCGGCCGGAGAGGGUGGCCGGCCAAAUUGGGACGGGGAAACGGCCCAGGGUCCUACGGGAGGCAGCAGUGGGGGAUAUUGCACAAUGGGCGAAAGACGGAUGCAGCGAGGCCGCGUGGGGGAUGAAGGCUUUAGGGUUGGAAACCUCGUUCGGUAUGGAACGGGUAGGAGGAGAAGAAGCGCCGGAUAACUACGUGCCAGCAGCCGCGGUAAUAG